CAGAACGACUCUCGGCAACGGAUAUCUCGGCUCUCGCAUCGAUGAAGAACGUAGCGAAAUGCGAUACUUGGUGUGAAUUGCAGAAUCCCGUGAACCAUCGAGUCUUUGAACGCAAGUUGCGCCCCAAGCCUUCGGGCCGAGGGCACGUCUGCCUGGGUGUCACGC
rnacentral:rRNA from 3 species